rnacentral:lncRNA from 1 species
AGAGGAGCCAGCUCUCUGGUUUCUACUGAAAUGUUUCUAGCAUUAAACAAACAUUGGAGGAAACACAAACAUCUGUCUGGAAGCGAAGCCUGGAGCUCGUGAAUUCCAGGGCUGGCUGUGGCCCCUGCCUCUGAUUUCCUGUGUGGGCCAGGACAAUUGGCUUCUUCUCUCUGUGUCUUAGCUCUGUGACAGCAUGGGCUCACCUCUAGCGAGCGCCUUCCUACUGACAGUGCUUGGCGGCGAUCUGGUGUGCCUGUGGGGGCCUCCCACUUUAAAGGCCUUUCCCAGGUCCUCCAAACUGAACUUUGUGUCCUUGCUAUGUGAAACAUGGAAAUCUUAUUUAUUUCCAAAAGCAACCUAUACUCAUUCCUAGAAAUAGAAAGGAUGGACCCAGGAGAACUGGCUCUGACAUAAGUGAGUUGUGUCAACGUGGGGAGGUCACUUAACCUGUGUUUGCAACAAUUUCUCUUUAAAAUG